ACAGAACAUUCUGUUUCCCUCAGAACAACGGAAAUCAGUCCCAGUGGGUGGGGCACCGCUACCCAGACUCUGUGUUUUUAGUAAUCUUAGUAAUUCAGGGUAAUUUCAGUGUAGCUGCUGGCUAAUUCAAAGGGAAUGAAUGGGUGGGGUGUAAAGCCGGCCCCGCAGUGGGCGUGUGUGGCCCAAUUUUGCCACAAGAGGGAGCCACCUGUUCACUUCGGGUGUGUUGCUUCAGGGAAGGUCUUGGUUUUUUUUUUCUUCCCAGUUAUUUUGUUUAUCCAAAUUCCUAAGCAAAAAUGAAGGUGAAAACACAGGCAUUGGUCCAGUUCAUUGUGGUUUGUUAAGCUCAGUGAGGGUGAUAAGAUUUGUAACUCUUUAAGUCAAUACCCACAGCUGGUGCUCUGAAACCAGAAGGUCCACGUGUUAGAAAAUGAAUUUCAGUGGUUUUGUUUUUCUCUGGGAGAGCGACUUUCAGUAUGAAAGUAUGAAACCACAUUUUCACUCCGUAUCAACAAGAAUGGUGGUUUUGUCAGCAUGUUCUCUUCUGCCCAGAGCAGCGGAGCCCUGACAGGCCCCUUUAGAAGGGUCAAGGUCUAACUGCGCCCUGUCCACGUGUGAGAGCCUCUUAGAGACCCUUGAAGGGAAACUUGCCUCCCCAUCUGAGUCAUUUCUUCACUCCCGAAAUCACAGAUUUACGUUUCUUUGAUGGCUCAUCGUGAAAUCCUUUUAAAACGUCAGAAUCUGUUAAAAUAUUGGGAGCUGCUAUUAUUUUAUAAUGUCAAUGAAUGAUUGCUCCUUCUGGUGCAUUUUGGUGAAAGACCUACUGAAAUUUUCUAACAUGAUAAAUUGUGAUAAUAGAUGUAUAUAAAUAGCAUACCAGUGAUUUAACUUCUUGGAAACGUUCUGAGUACCACUUAGGACUUAUUAAAAUAAAAGCAGUUUGUUU
rnacentral:lncRNA from 1 species